GUCUAUGGCCAUGCCACCCUGAACAAGCCCGAUGUCUGAUCUUGGAAGCUAAGCAGGGUCGGGCCUGGUUAGUACUUGGAUAGGAGACCACCUAGGAAGACCAGGUAGGUGCUGUAGGCA
rnacentral:rRNA from 1 species